AUUAUUAAAGAUAUGAAUAACAAAGAAGGCUAUGUCAAUAAUGGCAUAGAAGAGGAAAACCUCCAAUCAAAUGAUAAUGGUAUUUCUCGGUCACCAGUACUGCUUGGUAAAACAAAGAGAAUCCAGUGCAAUGGAC